rnacentral:rRNA from 1 species
CCUACGGGAGGCAGCAGUGAGGAAUAUUGGUCAAUGGGAGAGAUCCUGAACCAGCCAAGCCGCGUGAGGGAAGAAGGCCCUAUGGAUUGUAAACCUCUUUUGUCAAAGAACAAAACCCGGCACGUGUGCCUGACUGCGUGUAUCCGAAGAAAAAGCAUCGGCUAACUCCGUGCCAGCAGCCGCGGUAAUACGGAGGAUGCGAGCGUUAUCCGGAUUUAUUGGGUUUAAAGGGUGCGUAGGCGGGCCGUUAAGUCCGCGGUAAAAUUCCGGGGCUCAACCCCGUCGAGCCGUUGAAACUGGCAGACUUGAGUUGGCGAGAAGUACGCGGAAUGCGCGGUGUAGCGGUGAAAUGCUUAGAUAUUGCGCAGAACUCCGAUUGCGAAGGCAGCGUACCGGCGCCAGACUGACGCUGAGGCACGAAAGCGUGGGGAUCGAACAGGAUUAGAUACCCUAGUAGUC